AAACAUUUCCUCUUAGAUAAAGAGGUAAGGCCUGCUCACUGAAUUUUAAAGAGCCGCAGUAUUCUAACUGUGCUAAGGUAGCAUAAUCAUUAGUCUUUUAAUUGGAGACUGGUAUGAAUGGCUUAACGAGAAAUUAACUUUUUUUGUUAUAAAGAUUGAAUUUAAUUUUUUAGUGAAAAAGCUAAAAUUGUUCAGAAAGACGAGAAGACCCUUUAGAGUUUUAUGUUUUAAAAAUAAAUUUUUAUUAGAUUUUGAAUUAUGUAUUUUUAUAAAACAUUUUGUUGGGGCGACAUAAAGAUAAAUAAAACUCUUUAUAUUAAAAAUUUUUAUAAAAAUAUUCUUGAUCCUUUAUAAGAGAUUAUAAGAAAAAAUUACCUUAGGGAUAACAGCGUAAUCUUUUUUAAGAGUUCUAAUCGACAAAAAGGUUUGCGACCUCGAUGUUGGACUAAAAUUUAGGCAGGGUGCAGCAGUUCUGCUUUAAGGUCUGUUCGACCUAUAAAA
rnacentral:rRNA from 1 species